AACGAACGCUGGCGGCAUGCCUAACACAUGCAAGUCGAACGAACCCUUCGGGAGUAGUGGCGCACGGGUGCGUCACGCGUGGGAACCUGCCCUUAGGUUCGGAAUAACUCUCCGAAAGGGGUGCUAAUACCGGAUCAUGUCUUCGGACCAAAGAUUUAUCGCCUUUGGUUGGGCAAGAGUUGAAUUAGCUAGUUGGUAGGGUAAAAGCCUACCACGGCGACGAUCCAUAGCUGGUCAGAGAGAAUGGUCAGCGACACUUGGACGAAGACACGGCCGAGACUCCUACGCGAAGGAGCAGUGGGUGAUGUAGGAAAACGGGGGGAGGGAUGAACGUCCUAGGCCGCGAGAGUGAUGAAAGUAGGAAAGUUGAAAAGCGCAAGUAACCGUGAUGAUAAUGACGGUACCUAAUGAAAAAGCGCCGGCUAACUCCGUG
rnacentral:rRNA from 1 species